rnacentral:lncRNA from 1 species
UGAUGAUGUUAAGGUAAAUAAUAGCAAUUAUCAUAAAUGGCUGCAUGAAAAAGUAAUGCAACAAACUGGCUUUAGCAAUAGUGUCUGUCAUUAUUUGAAGUAAAUAUUUGCCAACCGUUCAUGAUUUCUGCAAGGUCAUUUUCGCAGCACUGUGUGUUAUGAUUUCUGAGUGUAAGUAAACAGUCCCUCCCCUUAACCUCCAUAGAUUUGUUCUAUAUUCAUGUAUGUGUAUGCUGACUACAGGUAGGCCUGAUGCUGAUCAUGUUUUACAGAUUUACUCUUAGAGAGGUUUGGUUUCCAAUGACCUCAUUCAAGUUUCAACAUAGAUCUUUUUCAAACCAUUUGAUUCCACAGAUUUGAGACGGGCACAAUUUGGUAUGUUCCGUUUGGGAAUGGGCUCCUCAUUCAGGAACAGGGUGAACUGAAGAGGGGAGAACACUCAAGGAUGCUUGAACAAGAGGCCCAUUGAGGAGGUUCGGAAGCAAUUUGGCUCCGAUUGUGACACCGGACAAUAGAGCUGUUUAUGUUUGUUGUUAGUUAUGAAACCGCCACCCCGCGAGCCUUUUCUGGACUUCCGUUACUCGUUAGUAAACGGUUUCACGCAUAACAACAUUAGAACAGCAGAUAUCUUGUGUUGAGGCAGUAAUGAGGUAGAGUGAAUACAUUUCACAUGAAUGCCCUGGUGUCUUCCCUGCACCGACGAAGCACAUACUGGAUGAUUUUUAAAAUGUAAAAUUAGUAACAAACCCAAGACCUCCUACACGUCAUUGUACCUUACAUCAGUUAGCAGGAUGACCAUACUUUUCCUUAAGGCAAUGGACUCACUGGUGUAUUUGUAUCUGUGAGGCCAUCUUAGGGCAGCUGCUGGUUUAUUUAAGCUAUUUCUGCGCAUUACAGAAUCAUGGACCUCACCGUCUGAUUUUAAAAACGUAGUUUCAUACCGGCCAUUAUGAAGGAAUAGAUGUGGGUCAGAGGUUUUCUAGCUUUGCUCGCCCGUCAUCUCAACAUGAUCACUCUGGUUUAAAUAAAAGUAACUAAAAUAAUGGAAAUUGUAUUUUGCGUCUGUGUCAAUGUAAAUUCAUGUACCAGAAUGAUAGGAGCUUGUGUGUGUGAGCAAGAUUAUAUCUAGACUGCAAGAUAUGAAGGACUGUCAUGCACACAUUAAAAGUACCAGUUUGUGAGGAACCUCCUUCAUUAUUAUUUCUCAGUUAUUUACAACAAAUUGAACUAAUGUCCCCCUGCUUCACCAACACACGUUAAGUGUCUUCCCUGGAAAGGAAGUUCUAGAAAGGGAAGACGUGAAAGAGGACGCUUGUGUAACAGCUAAAGGAAAAACAUGACUCUUACUUAAAACGUCUUUCUCAGUAGGUAAAGAUGUG